AAAUUAAAAUAUUGAAGUCUUUCAAAAUUUUUGAAGUGCAUGAGGCUAAAUUGGUCAUUUCAUUCCUUUGAGAAAUUGUCCCCAAUUGACUACAAUUUUCAGAGGGAAAUCUCCCUUCCUUAAUUGGGUAAAAAGCAAGGAGGGAAAUUUGGGUACUACAGAAAUAAAUAGAGGGAAAAUUCAAUCUCAUUCUCAGAAAACAAUGUCGGCAAACAAUUUAAAGAAAAUAUGAUUGGACUGUCAUCUCAAAAGCCUGACGGUACCGCCACGCUUCAACUUCCGCGUUUGUUUAGGAGUUUAAAGGAGUGGCAAUCUCGAUAUUAACGAAACCAAUCGGGACCAUUCUCGUCAACUCAAUUCUCUGGUUUUCUCUUUUAACCCACACCAAAACCGCCCUUUUCAAGUCUCCUGUUUCCCUUCCCUUUUAUAUAUUUUUAUUUUUAUUUUAGAAGGUUAGGGUUACUCUUCGAAGGAAAUGUUGCAGAAUCCCCCUUUUUUGUCUCUUUAAAUUGCAGGAAUUUCCUCUGGAGCAGCUUUGCAGGUCAACCAUGGCUUGAUUCUUUGAUUUUCCGGUUCCAAAUCUAAUAGCUUAAUGGAAUCCGCUUUGUUGCAUGCCAUUGCUUGCCUUUCAUGUGAUUUUCUUUAGUGUUUUCUUCCCCUGAAAUGUCUUCUUUUCUUGUCUUUUUUUUGUGUUCCUAGCCCUGGGGUUUUUGGCGGGGUGUUGGUGUGACCAACCAAAAUAGAAGCCUACCAUGUGAUUUUCUUAUAGGAUUCCCGUUGGAUUAUUUUAUCUUCUCUUUUACUUGACUCUUUUAAUCAAGGGAUUGUUGCUCUGAUAUGUGCUACCGGCAUACAUAUAGUUGUUUUUUCCUCCUGUGUAAGUAUAAGCGGGAAAAAGAGUUUUACUUGAGAUUUGUUAAUCAUUAAUAUGAUUGUCCAUUUUCACUUUC